AUUGAACGCUGGCGGAAUGCUUUACAAAUGCAAGUCGGGCGGCAGCGCGGGGCAACCUGGCGGCGAGCGGCGCACGGGUGAGUAAUGCAUCGGAACGUGUCCAUGUCGUGGGGGAUAGCGCGGCGAAAGCCGGAUUAAUACCGCAUACGCCCGAGAGGGGAAAGUGGGGGACCGCAAGGCCUCACGAGAUUGGGUCGGCCGAUGUCCGAUUAGCUAGUUGGCGGGGUAAAGGCCCACCAAGGCGAUGAUCGGUAGCUGGUCUGAGAGGAUGAUCAGGCACACUGGGACUGAGACCCGGCCCGGACUCCUACGGGAGGCAGCAGUGGGGAAUUUUGGACAAUGGGGGCAACCCUGAUCCAGCCAUUCCGCGUGAGUGAAGAAGGCCUUCGGGUUGUAAAGCUCUUUUGUCCGGAACGAAACGGAUGACGUGAAUAUCGUCGUCUACUGACGGUACCGGAAGAAUAAGCACCGGCUAACUACGUGCCAGCCGCCGCAGUAA
rnacentral:rRNA from 1 species